AGAGUUUGAUCAUGGCUCAGAUUGAACGCUGGCGGCAUGCUUUACACAUGCAAGUCGAACGGGCAGCGGGGGCUUGGCCUGCCGGCGAGUGGCGAACGGGUGAGUAAUGCAUCGGAACGUGCCCAUGUCUGGGGGGAUAACGUAGCGAAAGCUACGCUAAUACCGCAUACACCCUGAGGGGGAAAGCGGGGGAUUCUUCGGAACCUCGCGCGAUUGGAGCGGCCGAUGUCGGAUUAGCUAGUAGGUGAGGUAAAGGCUCACCUAGGCGACGAUCCGUAGCGGGUCUGAGAGGAUGAUCCGCCACACUGGGACUGAGACACGGCCCAGACUCCUACGGGAGGCAGCAGUGGGGAAUAUUGCACAAUGGGCGAAAGCCUGAUGCAGCGACGCCGCGUGAGGGAUGAAGGCCUUCGGGUUGUAAACCUCUUUCGGCCGGGAAGAAAUCGCAUGGGUUAAUACCCUGUGCGGAUGACGGUACCGGCAUAAGAAGCACCGGCUAACUACGUG
rnacentral:rRNA from 1 species